rnacentral:lncRNA from 7 species
AACCAUCUGCAGUUAAACCUGUGGCUGAGCUGAUGGGGGAAGCUUGGAAGAGCCCUUUGGAUGCUUUUCUCUAGCUUUGCAGAGAUGCUUCCCUAUUUUUACACUGAUGCUCUGCUGCAGCACAAGAGGACCAUUGAAUUGAAGGAUUAACAAGAGCUGCUAGUUAGGUCUUACAGAGCUCCAGUCCUGAGAACAAAGCAGGCUCUUACUAAGACAGAAGAUGUACCUUUGGGAUCUCCACAAGUGGCCACUUGGGACUUGCUGCUCAGAGAGUUUGAGUUCAAGAUAGCAGCAUAGUUUCUGUGGGAGUCUGAUACCACUUAGAGGAUGGUGCUUUCCCCAAGAUGUCAAGCUGGGACCAGGAAUAGAAGCAGUCUUCUGUUUGUCUCUGUGUACCACAGGGUUUUAAUUACUUCAUAACAAUGACAUGAGUAACUGCGUGAGUGCUCUGUAAUGUCAACAAGAAGCUGGAGAUAGCAGUGUACAUGGUUUUCUCGUUAUGUAUGCUACGUACUGAAGGGUAAAGGAACAUGAAUCCAAAAGUAUAUGGUUCGAAUAAAACGACCUAUUCUACAGCACUCUGGCACCUCUAUUUAGAAUGUGUAGGCCACUCUAAAAAGUAAUACCUUCUAUUUAUUUCCGUGGAAACUGCAAUGGACACAAAGAACAGAAUAACACUAUUUGACAGAACAAAUUCUCAGCCACAAAACAAUAUUUCUCAACAUAGUCACUACCAUUAGCUAUGUAUUUUCAUCAGGGUCUAACAAGCACAUGUGAAUCCUCUUCUUGGAACAGUAGAAACAGUUUAACCCUUUGUCAUGAUGGUGCAUUUCUGGCAUUGGUGUAGAUGCAUGAUAGCGUCUGAGCUGUGGGUAAUGUCCUGGAUCCUUCAGACAUCCACAGCACUUCCACAUAAGAACUUAUCAGACUUGGAAGUGAUACAGCAGAAAUUCCCAGAGGAAAACUUUGGACACAGCUAACUUGUGUAGCACUGAAAGGCCAGAAGAGGGAGAGAAGUUGUUUUCAGAUUGUGAACUGGUAGGAAGAUGCAAAUGAAGUUAUCUCCUGUCGUGUGACACCUAUCAAGCAGGACUUGAUGUUCCUUGUCAGGGAGCAGGAUUUCUGUAACAGAUACCAGGUUCCGCUGCCAAUUUCUUUCUCCUGAUAGAACAGUUUGCAAGAUCCUAAAUUUUUGGGAACCAUUGAGUUCAGAGAGAGUAGCAACACAGCUGAAAGUGUUACAUAAACAACAUAUGCUAGAUGUCUGUGCAGAGCUGGUUAGCUCCACACAGAGCAGUAAAAACUGCACAGAACGUAGUAGCUUAGUUCCCAACUUCAACAAUGAGGAAGAGCAUUAAAAGGAGAAAAAAAAAAAUGGAUCUCUGUUUAAUUUUGUACUGAAGUUACAGGCUUUUCCUCAUGUUCUGUUGAAUGUUUGUAUUAAGGGAAACUGAUACGUAAGUCACAUCUCAAUGAAAUGGCCCAGUCAGAGCGUAGGGUCAACAGUUAGUCUUGGAUUCAUCUAGCAUAACUUUUUUACCAUCUAAAAUAUAGCCAUCAGCUUUCAGACAGCUGUCUAGACAUACUCUAGAGCAGAAAGAAAGAGAUGCUACCUGAGGGCAGCUCAACAACUUGUAGAAGGACGUGAAAGUCUGGCGAAGCAAAGCUUACUGCAGCCUGUGCUGAGUCCUGCAUUUUCGUGACAUACAACAAGAAGUUACUGUAACUGCAGUAAAUAGCCCUCUGCAAAGUGUUAUUUUUCUCGGUCUUGACUUGCGUGUUCUCAAUUGACUGCAGUUUCUGCUUUGUCUCCAGAUUCAUAUUCAAGCGCUGUC